UCAAAUCUCAUUAGCGGAGGAAAAGAAACUAACUAGGAUUCCCUUAGUAACGGCGAGUGAACCGGGAUGAGCUCAAAUUUAAAAUCUGGCGUCUUUCAGGCGUCCGAGUUGUAAUCUAUAGAGGCGUUUUCCGCGCCGGACCGCGUCCAAGUCUCUUGGAAUAGAGUAUCAAAGAGGGUGACAAUCCCGUACUUGACGCGACAACCGGUGCUCUGUGAUACGUUCUCAAUGAGUCGAGUUGUUUGGGAAUGCAGCUCUAAAUGGGUGGUAAAUUCCAUCUAAGGCUAAAUAUUGGCGAGAGACCGAUAGCGAACAAGUACCGUGAGGGAAAGAUGAAAAGCACUUUGGAAAGAGAGUUAAACAGCACGUGAAAUUGUUAAAAGGGAAACGAUUGAAGUCAGUCGUGUGAAAGGUAUUCAGCCGUCUCUGGCGGUGUAUUUGCCUUUCACGGGUCAACAUCAGUUUGAUCCGGUAGAAAAAGGCGGGAGGAAGGUGGCACCCUCGGGUGUGUUAUAGCCUCCUGUCAUAUGUGCCGGACCAGACUGAGGAACGCAGCUUGCCGCAAGGCCGGGGUUCGCCCACGUACAAGCUAGGUGCUGAUCU
rnacentral:rRNA from 1 species